AGUUAAUUAGUUGAAUCGUACAUCAAUGAUGUAAGUUAGUCACAAUAUUGUGUUCAUAAACAUUUAGCAAAAAACUACAUAUACUAAUAAUAUCCCUCGAUUGUAAUGUAAAAUUUUCUUGAAAUUCCCAGCAAAAUGAUGGUUGAUCUGUAUAUCGUCAAAAAUCGGCUUCUCGUAAACUUCAAUAUCCAAAACUUGUUGAAGAAAUAAGAAAUUUCAGUUAGAAAAACUAUAUAUAACACACGUAUAUAUACUCAAGUUUUCAAAAAAAAGUCUAGUAUCAACAAUGAUUAGGAUACAACCGACUUGCUUCCCCCACCCAGACAACAAAAUUUAGUGAAAGAAAUGAUAAAUAGAUGACUUUGCAAAUUUUAACCACAUAAGAGGUAAAACAGUGUCAAUGAACUGAGCUGUAGAAAGUUACUCCACAGAGAUCAAUCAUGCACAUUAAAUGCACUCAUGCAGCCUAUCGGACCUAUUCCUAUCAAAACCCUAUCGUUUCUUCGUGUAGAACCUUCUGUUCAUUGGAAAUCUAGAGAAGUCAAGCGCAUGUUAGCCAUAGAAAAAUCUCCAAUACGCAGUUGUUGGUAAGUUUUCUUAUGGAUGGCCAGAUUUACAAGAAUUACGAAGAUUGGUUCCAAUCCAAAGUGAAGUUAAGUGUCCCUGCCAGGUUGGUUAUUUGUGUGAUUGACAUGUUUUGAUUCGUUUAUCACUGUUGGAGAAUUAUGUCAAUAUAAUGUCCAAAGUUGCGCACUAUAUUAAACAUCAGGAUUAGUACUACCAGAUAGAUCUCUCAAAUAUGAUACGUGAUUUAAGUCGGAGGAGGAAACCCCUAGUGUUGUAGCCUAGAUUUCUUUUCAAGCCUUGUCUCCUACCUUUUUUGUGAAGGAGUCAUGUUUAGAAUAGCUUCUGCUGUUAGGAAUCCUUGAAGAUUAAUACGGCUUCUCAAAAUAAGACUAGACCUAGUUGUGUGAGGGUGAAGGUGGAGGUUAAUCUACCGGAUGAAUUUCCAAAGUAAAUUCAAGUUGAAGUAGAAGAAGUUGAAGAUGAUUAUACAGGUGAAGUGAAGUCCGAACAGUUUUAAGAUUAAUUAUGAUUGUCUGCCCAAAUAUUACAGAGAAAGCAAAUUGCAAGGCCACAAUGAGGUAGGGUGCAGAAUUCUACAUCCUGAAUUAGUUCAAGAGAUAAAGGAAUGUGUAACAACCUUUUUCUUGUGGGACAAGCAAUAUGGCUUUUCCUACAAAAUUCUCGGGCCAAAAUAGAGUAGUGAUCAUUGUUGUUAACAGUUUUGACUGGAAGAUCAGCUUUAUCCUUAGUUUAUCAUCCAUCAGAUGAAGUCAUUAAUUCCUAAUAUAUAGAGGGAAAAAAAUCAUUUGCUAAGGAGCACUGCUGCAUGUAAGAAAGGUCUCCGACAAUUGCAGAAGCUAGUAGUUGACAUAAGAAUUUAGUUUGAGAAUGUUCAAAAGAAUAACUAACUAGUUUCUUGCCACCUUUAACCAAGUCAAAGGAGAAAAGCCCCUGAAGGUGAAAAGGUUUUGAUCAAUAAUCAGAACUUUGGUAAUGGGAGACUUACUAAAACUUCCAAAUCCUAGGUGGAAGCUUCUUUUGGGGAAAAAGAUAGCAAUGAGGAUUGAGGACACUAGUUCUAGUGGUGACAUACAGGAGGAGGGCAUAAUGGUCAUGACUAUUCAGUCACACCAGGAUCCAGGAGAUUCCUUCACAAUCUCUAGCUACUACAAAAGAAAACUCAGAUUUUCUUAGGCCCACACCAUCCCUAAAUUAAUUUUCAAACAUUAUCAGACAGAAUCUUGUUAGAAUUGACACCGAUGAAAUUUGUAAUUAAUAGAAGAAUAAAUUUCGCAAAUGAUAUACAAUAACAUACACUUAAAUCAACAAAAUAAAUUGAGGUUUCAUGUAAGUUGUUACUCACCUGGUAUCAUCAAGGAUCCCAAUAGUCAUUCUCCUGA
rnacentral:lncRNA from 1 species